GUGAAUCAUCGAAUUUUUGAACGCAAAUUGCGCCUUUUUCGAAAGGCAUGUCUGUUUGAGGGCACCAUUUAACAAAUAAUGUGCAUUUCGUGUGCACCCGUUGAUGAGCUUGCCAAUUUUAUGAAUUUUUUUUGGUGGCGCAUAAUAAACAGCGCGAUGCUUUUUUUCGGUUCGAGUGUAGUAAAGUUUUUUCUUGCUUGGCUUUUGGGAAGUCG
rnacentral:misc_RNA from 1 species